rnacentral:rRNA from 1 species
GAUGAACGCUGGCGGCGUGCCUAACACAUGCAGGUCGAGCGAUCUCUUCGGAGAGAGCGGCGGACGGGUGAGUAACGCGUGGGUAACCUGCCCUGUACACACGGAUAACAUACCGAAAGGUAUGCUAAUACGGGAUAAUAUAUAAAAGUCGCAUGGCUUUUAUAUCAAAGGUUUUGCGGUACAGGAUGGACCCGCGGCUGAUUAGCUAGUUGGUAAGGUAACGGCUUACCAAGGCGACGAUCAGUAGCCGACCUGAGAGGGUGAUCGGCCACACUGGAACUGAGACACGGUCCAGACUCCUACGGGAGGCAGCAGUGGGGAAUAUUGCACAAUGGGCGAAAGCCUGAUGCAGCAACGCCGCGUGAGCGAUGAAGGCCUUCGGGUCGUAAAGCUCUGUCCUCAAGGAAGAUAAUGACGGUACUUGAGGAGGAAGCCCCGGCUAACUACGUGCCAGCAGCCGCCGUAA